rnacentral:rRNA from 1 species
AUGCCCUCGACCCCGCCGCCGACGAGCGCCCCUUGCGCCGCCCUCCUGUAUCCUCCACCUCCCCGUUCUUCCCCUUCUCCUCUCCAUCCCGACUCCACCUGCUCAGCCGCACAACCCAGCUCGCUUCCCGCCGCCAUCAGCGCCUCGUGCGCGCCACCGCCCGCAGUCCAGCGAGUCGCCGUCACGCCUUCCUCCGUCUGCAUCGCCCGAUGGCCACCAACCCGCUCCCGUCCGCUGCCCUACCCUCUUUUGCCUCCUGGACGCUCGCAUUGCACCCUCGACCCUGCCCCGCGCGCCAUGGCGCUCCGCCACUGGACAGGAGGGGGUGAUAGAGAUGCCCAACGGGAAGGCGGUGUUCCUCGUCGACGCCUACGACUCCUUCCUUGCCGGCUGAUCGCACUAUGCCAGCACUCCUCCGAGCUCUGCGCCACCAUGGCUGCGAAGCAGUGCAUCCUGCGGCGCACCUACCGCGCCAUCCUGUCGCCGGUCCGUUGCCGCGUCACGUGCAACAGCCAGGAGUGCGUGUGUGGCGUGUGUGUGCGCGUGAGCGUACUGCCGCGUGAGCUAGCAAUCUGUUGCGAGCCGGCCGCGCAUGCAGCUCGUGCUCAUGCAGCAGGGCGGGGUGGGCUGCGCGUGUACGCGCACCGGCCUGGGUAUAAAAUCCGUAGACCGCUCGAUGCGGGUGUUCGUCGCCAAACACCAAUGCUCCUCUUUCUUCUUCCUACAUUCCAGCGUGAGAGCAAGAGAGAGCUAGGGUUAGACCCGAACAUGUCCGGCCGCUUCGACUGUGUUGCGCACGGCCUUGCCAACGUCUGGCUCAAGCGCGAGGCCUUCGUCACGUUCCCCAUUGCCAAUUACCACUCGCUGCAGCCUCGCUGGCACAUGGCCAGAAGCAGCAGCAGCACGAGCCCGCCGGUGCCGGCUGUGCCAUCUGGUUGUCGGACUUCGUCGAUGGCGAACAAGGUGCUUGAUAAAAUGACCACCAUAAGAAGAAGAAGGUACGAGGGGAGAGAGGAAGGACAUGAUGAGGUUGCUAAGGCUAAGCCACAUGGACCUCCAGCAGUUAUAUGGAGUCUUGGCUGUACAGUUUUGGAGAUGCUGACCGCCAAAGUUCCAUACCCUGAUAUGGAAUGGGUGCGUAUUCUGUCACCUUAG